CAAGAAAUGUGCUAAAUAUCAUGUGCGAUAAAAAGAAAUGUACCAAAACAAAAACACUGAAGUUAAUCUAGAGUUGCUUUUAUAUGCAACCAGACAGUAUAGAACCCGAAAAAUGCAUAUUAAUAAAUUCGGUGUUUGCAGGCUAUGCAAAUUUUAAAACAAAUUACAAAACAUAGAUGAAUAUUUGUUGAAGUAAGACAGUGGUUGAAAAUUGGUAUAUAUAUGAAUCACGGGUGUAUAGCGCUAGCACAUUUCUUAUAGUUUCGCAU